rnacentral:rRNA from 1 species
UACAAUGGAGAGUUUGAUCCUGGCUCAGGAUGAACGCUAGCGGCAGGCCUAAUACAUGCAAGUCGAGGGGUAUAUGAGAGCUUGCUCUUAUAGAGACCGGCGAACGGGUGCGUAACGCGUAUGCAACCUACCUUUAUCAGGGGGAUAGCCCGGAGAAAUCCGGAUUAAUACCGCAUAACAUUAUUUUUUGGCAUCAAGAGAUAAUCAAACAUUUAUGGGAUAAGGAUGGGCAUGCGUGUCAUUAGCUAGUUGGUGAGGUAACGGCUCACCAAGGCGACGAUGACUAGGGGAUCUGAGAGGAUGACCCCCCACACUGGUACUGAGACACGGACCAGACUCCUACGGGAGGCAGCAGUAAGGAAUAUUGGUCAAUGGAGGCAACUCUGAACCAGCCAUGCCGCGUGCAGGAAGACUGCCCUAUGGGUUGUAAACUGCUUUUAUACGGGAAUAAACCUAUCUUCGUGAAGGUAGCUGAAUGUACCGUAAGAAUAAGGAUCGGCUAACUCCGUGCCAGCAGCCGCGGUAAUACGGAGGAUCCAAGCGUUAUCCGGAUUUAUUGGGUUUAAAGGGAGCGUAGGCGGCCUUUUAAGUCAGGGGUGAAAGACGGUGGCUCAACCAUCGCAGUGCCUUUGAUACUGAAGGGCUUGAAUGUAGCUGAGGUAGGCGGAAUGUGACAAGUAGCGGUGAAAUGCAUAGAUAUGUCACAGAACACCGAUUGCGAAGGCAGCUUACCAAACUAUAAUUGACGCUGAGGCUCGAAAGCGUGGGGAUCGAACAGGAUUAGAUACCCUGGUAGUCCACGCCCUAAACGAUGAUAACUCGAUGUUAGCGAUAUACAGUUAGCGUCCAAGCGAAAGCGUUAAGUUAUCCACCUGGGGAGUACGCCCGCAAGGGUGAAACUCAAAGGAAUUGACGGGGGCCCGCACAAGCGGAGGAGCAUGUGGUUUAAUUCGAUGAUACGCGAGGAACCUUACCCGGGCUUGAAAGUUACUGAAUCAUCUAGAGAUAGAUGAGUCCUUCGGGACAGGAAACUAGGUGCUGCAUGGCUGUCGUCAGCUCGUGCCGUGAGGUGUUGGGUUAAGUCCCGCAACGAGCGCAACCCCUAUGUUUAGUUGCCAGCAUGUAAAGGUGGGGACUCUAAACAGACUGCCUGCGCAAGCAGAGAGGAAGGAUGGGACGACGUCAAGUCAUCAUGGCCCUUACGUCCGGGGCUACACACGUGCUACAAUGGUCGGUACAGAGGGCCGCUACCCAGCGAUGGGAUGCCAAUCUCAAAAAGCCGAUCACAGUUCGGAUCGGGGUCUGCAACUCGACCCCGUGAAGUUGGAUUCGCUAGUAAUCGCGUAUCAGCAAUGACGCGGUGAAUACGUUCCCGGGCCUUGUACACACCGCCCGUCAAGCCAUGGAAAUUGGGGGUGCCUGAAGUCCGUGACCGCAAGGAGCGGCCUAGGGUAAAACCGGUAACUGGGGCUAAGUCGUAACAAGGUAGCCGUACCGGAAGGUGCGGCUGGAAUACCUCCUUU